GGGCGGCGAGCUAUACAUGCAGUCGAGCGGACAGAAGGGAGCUUGCUCCCGGAUGUUAGCGGCGGACGGGUGAGUAACACGUGGGUAACCUGCCUGUAAGACUGGGAUAACUCCGGGAAACCGGAGCUAAUACCGGAUAGUUCCUUGAACCGCAUGGUUCAAGGAUGAAAGACGGUUUCGGCUGUCACUUACAGAUGGACCCGCGGCGCAUUAGCUAGUUGGUGAGGUAACGGCUCACCAAGGCGACGAUGCGUAGCCGACCUGAGAGGGUGAUCGGCCACACUGGGACUGAGACACGGCCCAGACUCCUACGGGAGGCAGCAGUAGGGAAUCUUCCGCAAUGGACGAAAGUCUGACGGAGCAACGCCGCGUGAGUGAUGAAGGUUUUCGGAUCGUAAAGCUCUGUUGUUAGGGAAGAACAAGUGCAAGAGUAACUGCUUGCACCUUGACGGUACCUAACCAGAAAGCCACGGCUAACUACGUGCCAGCAGCCGCGGUAAUACGUAGGUGGCAAGCGUUGUCCGGAAUUAUUGGGCGUAAAGGGCUCGCAGGCGGUUUCUUAAGUCUGAUGUGAAAGCCCCCGGCUCAACCGGGGAGGGUCAUUGGAAACUGGGAAACUUGAGUGCAGAAGAGGAGAGUGGAAUUCCACGUGUAGCGGUGAAAUGCGUAGAGAUGUGGAGGAACACCAGUGGCGAAGGCGACUCUCUGGUCUGUAACUGACGCUGAGGAGCGAAAGCGUGGGGAGCGAACAGGAUUAGAUACCCUGGUAGUCCACGCCGUAAACGAUGAGUGCUAAGUGUUAGGGGGUUUCCGCCCCUUAGUGCUGCAGCUAACGCAUUAAGCACUCCGCCUGGGGAGUACGGUCGCAAGACUGAAACUCAAAGGAAUUGACGGGGGGCCCGCACAAGCGGUGGAGCAUGUGGUUUAAUUCGAAGCAACGCGAAGAACCUUACCAGGUCUUGACAUCCUCUGACAACCCUAGAGAUAGGGCUUUCCCUUCGGGGACAGAGUGACAGGUGGUGCAUGGUUGUCGUCAGCUCGUGUCGUGAAAUGUUGGGGUUAAGUCCCGCAACGAGCGGCACCCUUGGAUCUUAGUUGCCCACCAUUCAGUUGGGGCACUCUAAGGGGGACUGGCCGGUGACAAAACGGGAGGAAAGGUGGGGGAAGGACGGUCAAAUCAUCCUGGCCCCCUUAUGAACCUGGGGCUAACCAACGUGGCUUACAAUGGGAACAGAAACAAAGGGCUGGCGAGGAACCGCAAGGGUUUAAGCCCAUUCCCCCACAAUCUGGUUUCUCAGUUUCGGAAUCCGAAUUUUGCCAACUCCCAAUUGGUU
rnacentral:rRNA from 1 species